rnacentral:piRNA from 1 species
UCUGUGACCGGACCCUGAAGUCGGGAUUUGU